AACCAGCUUGCUGGUUGCGUGCUGAGUCACAAUAACUGCUCGAAUCGCAUGGCUUUACGCCGGCGAUGGUUCAUUCAAAUUUCUGCCCUAUCAGCUUUCGAUGGUAGGAUCGAGGCCUACCAUGGCGUUUACGGGUAACGGAGAAUUAGGGUUCGAUUCCGGAGAGGGAGCCUGAGAGAUGGCUACCACAUCCAAGGAAGGCAGCAGGCGCGUAAAUUGCCCGAAUCCUGACACAGGGAGGUAGUGACAAGAAAUAACAAUACAGGGCUACAUCUAGUCUUGUAAUUGGAAUGAGUACAAUCUACAUCUCUUAACGAGGAUCAAUUGGAGGGCAAGUCUGGUGCCAGCAGCCGCGGUAAUUCCAGCUCCAAUAGCGUAUAUUAAAGUUGUUGCAGUUAGAACGCUCGUAGUCGGAUUUCGGGGCGGGCCGACCGGUCUGCCGAUGGGUACGCACUGGUCGGCGCGUCCUUCCUUCCGGAGACCGUGCCUACUCUUAACUGAGCGGGGGCGGGAGACGGAUCGUUUACUUUGAAAAAAUCAGAGUGUUUCAAGCAGGCAGCUCGCUCUUGCAUGGAUUAGCAUGGGAUAAUGAAAUAGGACUUUGGUGCUAUUUUGUUGG
rnacentral:rRNA from 1 species